GCCAAAUUGCGUACGCGGCUUUUAAUACUUUUCUUACUGCAAGAAUCUACCAUACAAUUUCUUAGAACAAGUCAUACAUAUGCACAUAUCAAAUUUCAAACUAUAGUGCCUCAUUUCUUCAAAGAAUUGUCUCACAUAAUAUCAGAUAAUGACAGAAGAUAUAUCAUUCACUUAGUGAAAGGAAAAGUUGGAAGGAAGGUGCUCCUUAUACUUGGAAUAUUGAAGAGCAUCUCCAAAUGCUAAAAUUU
rnacentral:misc_RNA from 1 species